CCUACGGGAGGCAGCAGCCGCGGUAAUACAGAGGGUGCAAGCGUUAAUCGGAAUUACUGGGCGUAAAGCGCGCGUAGGUGGUUUGUUAAGUUGGAUGUGAAAUCCCCGGGCUCAACCUGGGAACUGCAUUCAAAACUGACUGACUAGAGUAUGGUAGAGGGUGGUGGAAUUUCCUGUGUAGCGGUGAAAUGCGUAGAUAUAGGAAGGAACACCAGUGGCGAAGGCGACCACCUGGACUAAUACUGACACUGAGGUGCGAAAGCGUGGGGAGCAAACAGGAUUAGAUACCCUAGUAGUC
rnacentral:rRNA from 1 species